ensembl:lncRNA LINC01524 long intergenic non-protein coding RNA 1524
AGUGCUGGCGCAAGUCGUCUUGCGCCAGGCGACUGGGUCUGAGGAGGCAGGAGUUAUUCAUUCCCUUAAGCUUUCAGGCCGGGGGGAGAAUCUUUCAGGUGGUAGCUGCAAGAACUCUUAGUAUGUUGACCUCACCUCUGCCUUCCACAUACCACUACCAGUGAGGAAUUAGGAAUGCAUGAGAAGAGUGUCCAAGAAGAGUGUCCUCAUUCAUGCAAGGCUUAAGAGAGAAUGCAGGUCAACAUCACCAUGUCAAUCAGAGAAUACUUCUGUUGGGUUGAAUGACUCUCUGCCCCCAGUCUGACUGGUUGGAAGAGGCCCUUUUCCCAGCCUUUGUGAAAGAGAUCUUCAUGUAAACAGAGUCCCUCUUAUUGGCUGAAGUGAAGAGUCAUUCUGAGGCAUCUCAAGAUGAAGGUUUCCUAUUUGUGAUUAUGAAAAAAAUGUCAAGAACAAGUCCCUUGGUGUUCUUAGACCAAAGUCAGAACAACAGACCUACUGAAAUUAUUGUAUGACUCUGGAGGAAACCUCCAAUCAGGUCAGAUGCCCUGCUCAGGAUUUCGAUGAGUGUAUAAGCAACAAUAAUGAGCUAUGUUGACUUCCAAUACACUUUCAUGUUGUUUACAUUUUAUUAAAUGGUUUAAGCAGGGUCAUCAUAUAAAUGAUCAACAUAUUGACUAAAACACUCAAGCCUUGAAGAAUUGAAGGCCACAGACAGCCAACCAGAUUGGUCACCUUGAAUUUGAGUCAAUAGCAUAAAUAUAUAUUUGGCUACAGAGUCAAAGCCCACUUUAUAUUCAUUAUUCUGAAAACCCUGCUAAAUAAACAGCUCCAAAGUGUCCCAC